GACGAACGCUGGCGGCGUGCUUAACACAUGCAAGUCGAACGGAAAGGCCCUUCGGGGUUCUCGAGUUGCAAACGGGAGCGUAACACGUGGGUGAUCUUCCCUGCACUUUGGGAUAAGCCUGGGUAACUGAGUCUGAUACCGAAUCGGACCACGCGCUUCAUGGGGUGGGGUGGAGUGCUUUUGCGGUGGGGGAUGGGCACGCGGCCUAUCAGCUUGUUGGUGGGGUAGUGGCCUACCAAGGCCACGACGGGUAGCCGGCCUGAGAGGGUGACCGGCCACACUGGGACUGAGAUACGGCCCAGACUCCUACGGGAGGCAGCAGUGGGGAAUAUUGCACAAUGGGCGCAAGCCUGAUGCAGCGACGCCGCGUGAGGGAUGACGGCCUUCGGGUUGUAAACCUCUUUCAAUAGGGACGAAGCGCAAGUGACGGUACCUAGAGAAGAAGCACCGGCCAACUACGUG
rnacentral:rRNA from 1 species